GGUGGUUGAAAAAGUUGGUGGUGAAAUCCCAGAGCUUAACUCUGGAACUGCCAUCAAAACUUUUCAGCUAGAGUAUGAUAGAGGAAAGCAGAAUUUCUAGUGUAGAGGUGAAAUUCGUAGAUAUUAGAAAGAAUACCAAUUGCGAAGGCAGCUUUCUGGAUCAUUACUGACACUGAGGAACGAAAGCAUGGGUAGCGAAGAGGAUUAGAUACCCUCGUAGUCCAUGCCGUAAACGAUGUGUGUUAGACGUUGGAAAUUUAUUUUCAGUGUCGCAGGGAAACCGAUAAACACACCGCCUGGGGAGUACGACCGCAAGGUUAAAACUCAAAUGAAUUGACGGGGACCCGCACAAGUAGUGGAGCAUGUGGUUUAAUUCGAAGAUACGCGCAGAACCUUACCAACACUUGACAUGUUCGUCGCGACUCUAAGAGAUUAGAGUUUUCGGUUCGGCCGGACGAAACACAGGUGCUGCAUGGCUGUCGUCAGCUCGUGUCGUGAGAUGUUGGGUUAAGUCCCGUAACGAGCGCAACCCCUAUCCUUAUUUGCCAGCACAUCAUGGUGGGAACUAUAAGGAGACUGCCGGUGAUAAACCGGAGGAAGGCGGGGACGACGUCAAGUCAUCAUGGCCCUUACGACCAGGGCUACACACGUGCUACAAUGGGAAGGACAAAGAGCCGCGAAGCCGCGAGGUGUAGCUAAUCUCAGAAACCUUUUCGUAGUCCGGAUUGGAGUCUGCAACUCGACUCCAUGAA
rnacentral:rRNA from 1 species